rnacentral:misc_RNA from 1 species
AAAUCAAAAGUUACAAAAUUACUAGUGCUAUAACCAGAGUUAUAUGUCUAUUUGUUUUAUUUUAUUUAUCAAAUAUUUUAUUAUGCAAAUAAAUACAUAAUAGGAUUGGACACCAGGCUAUGCCUAUAUUAGUCCUCUCCCCAAGUAUCAAAGUUACAACACAUAUAUCAGUUACAUUUGAAUUACAUAAGAAUAAAAGUUGCAGGAUAUAAUAAGUUCAUAAUAUAAUAUGAAAAUGUAGCAUUUAAGAAGUUGGAAUUCAUGUAGGAUUAAGAACAGAAAAAGAAAGUAAGGAACCAAAAAAAAAAAAAAAACAAAACAAAACAAAACAAAUCAAAACAAAGAACAAAAAAAAAGGAUGGAAGAAAAAAUGAAAAAAAUUGGGGUCAUAUAAACAUUUGAAAAUAAGAAAAAUUGUAGUGAUAGUGAAUAUCAUUGUUCUAGAUUAUUAAUCUAGAUUACUAGAUUAUUAAUAACAGGUACCAUUUAGAAUAUUUUUGUUAAUGAACUGCUUGAAAAAUUGAGCAGUUGGUUUUAUAGGGAAGUUGUCUAUCGCCGAAAAGUAAAACAUGUAAUAUUUGCUUAUGAUUGAGAUUGUUUAGGUUUAUAUUAUUUUGAAUACUGGUAAUAAGGAAUGCUCUGUGAUUAAUGUAAGCUGGACAAGCAAGGAAAAAUAAAGAUUGUCUUCAAGUGUGUGACCACAAUUAUUACAAGUUGAAGUGUCACUUAAAUGUUGAGCUUGUAAAUUACUGGAUUUAUUUCUAAGUUGACAGUGAGCAAUAUUUUCUUUGCACUUUCCAUAAUUGUAAACUAUUUGUUUAUCUAUAUCGACAUGCAUGUAUAUCCUUUUUAAAGGAACUAAUACUGUUUGAGCUCAAAAUUGAAAAAAAAAUAAAUAGAAAUGCUGGUAUCGGAUUUUUAAUGCCUCGUCAAAAUGUGAAGGUCAUAUACUGAGUUACAAGCAUAACUCAGUUUGAAAUUUUUAGUUCUGUUAAAGGCCCAAGCUAUAUUAUUGUUAAUAUAUGUGGGGUUUUUUUUUUGGUAUAAGUUUUCAAUGUUGCUGCUUCUGUUGAUAAUAUUAUUCAUGAACACAUUUAAAUAGUUAAUCUUGUUUGCCAUAAUUCAUUUUGUCAAAGAAAUGGUUAUUCCUUACUUAACGUUAUUUGUAAACAAAUACAUGUCUGGAGCUUUGUUUACGUAACAAUGAUUUCCUACCUUUGUUAUUCGAUUGUAACUUGACUUCCAAUAUUUAAUUUUUGUCAGUCAUUCGAAUUGCACCAGUUAAUAAAAAAAUUAAAAU